rnacentral:rRNA from 1 species
UGGGGAAUUUUGGACAAUGGGCGAAAGCCUGAUCCAGAAUGCCGCGUGUGUGAAGAAGGCCUUCGGGUUGUAAAGCACUUUUGUCCGGAAAGAAAUCCUUGGCUCUAAUACAGUCGGGGGAUGACGGUACCGGAAGAAUAAGCACCGGCUAACUACGUGCCAGCAGCCGCGGUAAUACGUAGGGUGCAAGCGUUAAUCGGAAUUACUGGGCGUAAAGCGUGCGCAGGCGGUUUGCUAAGACCGAUGUGAAAUCCCCGGGCUCAACCUGGGAACUGCAUUGGUGACUGGCAGGCUAGAGUAUGGCAGAGGGGGGUAGAAUUCCACGUGUAGCAGUGAAAUGCGUAGAGAUGUGGAGGAAUACCGAUGGCGAAGGCAGCCCCCUGGGCCAAUACUGACGCUCAUGCACGAAAGCGUGGGGAGCAAACAGGAUUAGAUACCCUGGUAGUCCACGCCCUAAACGAUGUCAACUAGUUGUUGGGGAUUCAUUUCCUUAGUAACGUAGCUAACGCGUGAAGUUGACCGCCUGGGGAGUACGGUCGCAAGAUU